rnacentral:rRNA from 1 species
AUGUCCCGGGCCGAAUUUGGUCGGCCCAAAAGUGCACAGGGACAGGGGGGCUGCUCACCAGGCCUUAUGGGCCGGUCGGUGGAGAAGGGAAGCCGACAAGGCGCUGGGCCUUGGCGAGGCAAGGAGGCCCACGCGCGGAUCUGGCCCAAUCGGGCGACGUGCGCGGUCAACGGGGAUCGAGCGGGUCCAGGCGCGGGCAAAACUCGUCGUCGCGGUCACCGUCCUCGCGUGCGGGCGCAGCGACCUGAAGAAGGCGGCGCCGAUGGCAGGGAACGGCCAGGAACAGGGGUCUCCGGCCCGGAUCUGGUUCGUGGCGGAUUGGGGAGGCAGACGAACUCCAGGACGGGUGCGCGGUGGCUGGGUAAGUCCAUGGAGGCGCGACGGGGCUGA